AGAUUGAACGCUGGCGGCAGGCCUAACACAUGCAAGUCGAGCGGCAGCACGGGUACUUGUACCUGGUGGCGAGCGGCGGACGGGUGAGUAAUGCCUAGGAAUCUGCCUGAUAGUGGGGGAUAACGCUCGGAGACGGACGCUAAUACCGCAUACGUCCUACGGGGGAAAGCAGGGGACCUUCGGGCCUUGCGCUAUCAGAUGAGCCUAGGUCGGAUUAGCUAGUUGGUGAGGUAAUGGCUCACCAAGGCGACGAUCCGUAACUGGUCUGAGAGGAUGAUCAGUCACACUGGAACUGAGACACGGUCCAGACUCCUACGGGAGCAGCAGUGGGAAUAUGGACAAGUGGGCGAAAGCCUGAUCCAGCCAGUCGCCGCGUGUGUAGAAGAGGUCUUGGAUAGUAAAGCUAA
rnacentral:rRNA from 1 species